AUACCCAUUCCCAGAUCAUAUCUUCUGGAUCAUGAAAAUGUUUAUGUGACAUCUACAGGAACCAAUUUUUUCAAGCAGUGUUUUCCUUCCAAUUCUGUAGAUCUAGCCUUGUCUUUUACAGCAUCACAUUGGUUAUCGAAACCGGUGUAUGUACAUGACCACGUGUAUGCUUAUUUCACCCAAAAUAAAGACGAAAAUGACGCCUUAACGAAACAAGCAGCCGAAGAUUGGGUACUCUUCCUGAAAAACAGAACCAAAGAAUUGAAACCAGGUGGUUGGGGUGUCUUCGCAACGGGUGGGGGAAGAGAUGCUUCUCCGGAAGAACCAGACUGUGUAGCUUUUCAGGAUGGAUGGAUUGCUGCGGGUAAAAGUUGGAAAGAUUUAUUUGAUCGUAGUAUUAUUACAAAGGCCGAGUUAAAACAAGGUACAUACGCUUUUUGCUCGAGAAGCCCGCGUGAGCUAGAAGAACCAAUCCGUGAUUCCAUAGAGUUACACAAUAUGGGUCUUAAACUGCAUGAAAUUAGACUGGAUGCUCUUCCUUGUUUUUAUGUCACAGAAUGGAAGCAAAAGUUAGAGCAAGGUAUCGAUGAUCGAGAAAGUUUAGCUCGAGAUAUGACGAAAUAUUUAAAAACACCUACCUAUAAUACUUUCUAUGAAGCACUGAGUAGCGAGCGAAGCGAGGAACAGAAAUCACAGAUCUGUGAAUUAGUAUUUAAAGGAAUGGAGGAGUGUCUUUUAUCUAAAUAUCCCGGGGACAUGAAUCCCUAUUGUUUUUACACAAGUACGUAUGUUCAAAAGGAACAGACAGCGGUGACCCCCAAAAGCAUCCCUUACUUAAUG